UCUUUCAGAUUUCUAAAUGCCUCAUUUCCACAUUUUUCCAAGAAGCUAACUUUCUACAAUCCUAAUGAAGGUGGAGAUUCUGAGUUGCCCAAAUUUGGAGUUCAAACUAAAUGCAUGUUGUCAAAUGCAAAUGUAGAACAUCACUUCUCUUGAAUACCGAUUUCAAGUGGUAGAGAAGGGGAUAAUGCACCACAACAUAUUUCUUGUACAUCUUGCAAGGAUGCUCUACCAUAAUGAUCAAAAGAAACAAAGUAGCCAAAACUAAGCAAUGAGACGAGGAGAAAGAAGAGGGGAAGGAGAGAAAGCAACCUAAUGCAAAGAUGCAUCAAAUUGUUGUGUCUUGACAAAGGGAUGAAGAGAUGGAGAACACAAGAUGCUGCUUUUUGGUAAUAGGAGAAAGUCAUGAAGAUAAAUUGUUUGGCUUGACCAAGAGAGGAAGAAACAAAGAAAAAAGAAUCCAAGGUUCAUUAGAGGAUACUGGUGCGACAUUACACCCAUGUAAAUAUAAACCAACUGUCAAUGCCACAUUGAAUAAGGUUCACAUGA